CACCCUCUGGUUAUGAACCUUUUCCUGAUAUCCAGCCUAAACCUCCCCUGAUGCAGCUUCAUGCCAUUUUCUCAGGUUCUGUCACUGGUCUCAAGAGUGAAGAGAUCACUGUCUGCCCCUCUGCUUUGCCUUGUGAGGAUGUUGAAGAUAAUUACAGCAAGGUCUCCCCUCAGUCUCCUCCAGGCUGAACAGACCACAUGACCUCAGCUGAUCCUCAUACAGCUUCCUCUCAGACCCUUCACCAUCCUCAUGGACCUCCUUUGGAUGCUUUCUCAUAGCUCUGUAUCUUUUUUAUAUUAUGGUGACCAAAACUGCGCACAGCACUUGAGGUUGGUCCUUUUGGAUUGCAGCUCAGUGUCAAUACAAUGGAACAUGCUUUUUAUACAUUAUUUCACAUAUUUUAAUAAUAAAAUUUUAUUUUGUAUAUAUAUACAUUUUUAUAAAUAAGACCUAUACAAUUUGUAUGUCAUGAAUUUGUCUGUGUCCUCUGGAAAAUUUGCUUUAGAAGCUGUUCAAGAAGGAUGGGGAUGUCUUCUGUUUUUCACGGAUUAUUUUACAUACUACAAAGUUUAGAAAGCGUGUGUAGCUUUUGUAGUAUCAGUGCUAAUGGCUCUGAUGUAAAUCUGCCUUGAAAUGGGAUAAACUGCAUUCAAAACUGUACUGAGCCCUGAAAACCAAGAGCUGGGCACCACAAAUGCAGCAUUUCAAGCACGCCUGAGAAAUGAAAUGGAGUAUGGCGCAGUAUUGGGAAUUAUCUGCUGGCGUGUGAACAAAUACAGGCUCCAUCAGGAAAUCCUGCCUUCAAGCCAGUUUUGCUGCUCCACUGGUGAUGUGACAGCUGGACCCACAGGGUUAUUUCUGCCUCUGGCAAGGAGCUUAGAAACAAGGCUGCAGGCAGGUUUCAGAUGCCUGUGAGCUCAGGGCUCCAAGUGCUGAGUUGCACAUCCAGCCUCUGCCGGCGAGUGGAGAAUUUUAUUUUCAGUUCUGUUGAGAUGUAGGAGCACAACCCAAUGCCUGGCUUUGGGCAACUGUACAAGGCUCCCCAAAAAUGCAAGGAAAGAAGGUAUAAAAGAAAGGAAUGCAGUAGGAGCUUGUGCUGGUUUAUUCUGGGAGAAGUUUCCCCCUGCAUCCCCCCCUCCGCCCCCCAGUGCUGCCUUACAGUCGCAUGCUGGGAAUAUUUGUUGCAUAUCCACCUAACUGCUGAUUGACACAUACAAGGCAAUAAACUUAAUUAGUUAAAAUCCCCUAUGUUCUGAUUGACUGCCAAUGUCCAAAGUCCACUAGGAAAGACAUGGGAGAUAACAUUUGUAAGGCGAGGCUAUCUGGGCUUGCAGAGUAUUUUUUCAAUUAAUUUCUGCCUAAGGAUUGGCUGUGAUACUUAUCCACUGGCAAACCUAGUUUCAGAUUUCAGCUUUAAAAUAUAAUUGGCAGCUCAGCAAAUUCAUAAAAUUGAUCCCCAUUCACACUUAUUUUUGGCUUGCGUUAAGAAUGUGCCAACCUGGAACUCUAAACUUAACCCCGAGUGACUUUCCCAGGGCUGCUGCCCUGAAAGGAAAGCCUGGCAGCAGCGCCUGGGCCGCGGCCAAGAUAAAUCCUGAGCCGCCGAUGGCAGAGCAGUCACAGCCUGAACUGCAGGUGAGGGGAGAAUAAAGAGACGGAAUAAAGGGUAAAUUUUGUAAAAUGCGCCCUUUCUGAAACCUGUUAUUGUGCAUUUGUCUCUCAGUGCUCCACGGCCUGACCCUGCUGCGGCCCAGAGCCCGCCCAAGCUGCUGUGAGCCCUGCAGGACCGCCGGACACAAACCGCGGGACGAGGUCGGGCGUGUGUGGCGGGGUAACAGCGCCGCGAUUCCAGCUCGCAGGAAGCUGCUGCAGCCUGAACUGCUGCUGGCAUAGUCCAAGGAAAAACAACUGUACCGGGCUCUUCACAGCCCCUCUGUCUCCAAACUGCACCUGAUGGCUGCCAAAUUCCACCAGGAUGGUGACCUACCUGCAAUGGGGCUGUCUUGUCGAGGGGGUUCCUUCCUCCAGAGUGGGACAAAAACCUUGAUGUCAGUGUGCCCCCUCUCUCGAAACCAAUCGACCGCCAGCUGGAUGCCCCAGCAGGAGAACACCUCCUUGUUUCCAUGACUGUAAAGAAAGAGAGAGGAUGAUGAGGCAAAGCUUUCAUGAAGCUUAGAGUUCUCUUGAACUGAGCCAGUAAUGAAAAGGCAAAAUAAACAGCUUUUGUGUCAUUCACCAGUUUCCAAGAAAACAACUGGCAGGGUGUCCUGGUGGGACAGAUCCAAACAGCUCCUCCAGCAGAGCCAAAGAUUUAUCUGAAACAGUUUGGAUACUUAAAAACAGAGGUAUCCUAUCCCCCAUUUCUGUGAUCCAAGCCUAUUCCUUCCAUCUCUAUCUGGAUGGACUUAAGUUCUAAAGUACCAACAAGAACUUAGGCCUUGUAAAACCCUUCACAUGCCUUGUCUGAAAAAGGUUUGAGGGGUGAGAGUUUCUUCCUGCACAAGCAGAAACCUGUGAGGCUCCUGUGAGAAACAAAAUGUGGGAAUUUUCUUCUGUGGUAACAGGGCUAUUGGAGAUUUUAAUGGCUGAAGGUGUGAUCACAGGGCACUCCACUGGUGAUCUUUUUUGGAAACAUGAGACAAAAUAAGGGGAAAGAAAAAAGGAGAAAGAUAGGAAAUACAGAGAACCAAAAAAGAGACAAGACAUCAGUGGAGAUAGCCACAGGCACCUCAGGCCCACUUUUAUCUUUCUCUAGUUGUUGGAUAUUUUCUUCAUUGCACAGAGAGGUAGGAAAGCCCUAAGACAAGUGUUCUAGAAGUGCCAGCAAGGUGGGUUCUGAAGAAUUCAGACAGAAAAUAACCUCAAGGAAAACAGCUGGGGGUGACAUCCUUCUAAAUGUGCCUAAGCCUGCCUUGAAAGCUCCUACUGCUUGACAUUCACUUAUCUAAAAUUUGACUGCAGCACAGUGUAUGUGUAAAGGAAGGUAGUUUGUUAACCACCUCUGCACAAGGAAAUUAAAAUUUUAAAAUUGGUUAAUUUAAUUAAUUUAAAUUAAUUUAAUUUAAAUUUGUACCCAAAGUCCUAAGUGGAUAAAUGCCUUCACAGUAUCUGCAGAAUGCUCAUCCUCGUACUUUGACUUUUCUGCAUAUCUGCCAGUCUCACUCAGGCUUUCCCUUCUGCAGAGGCCCUUGGGAAUGACUCCCUGCUCCACCCACCUGCACUGGCAGACCAGUCAAGGGUGAUGCCACAGUCUUAAAUGAGUCUCCCACCACCCUCCCAGGGACUCAUCUCUAGGAUCUGUUUACACCAGCCUCAUAAUCAAGGCUGAUUUUACACCCAAUAAAAGUUUCUGUCCUGAAAUGGUGACCACAGAUGAAAAUAACACAAUUUGUAGGAAGAAACCUGGCUGCCUAUCAAGAGCUACCAAGGCAAUAGGAAGUCAUUCAAAACCCUUAGCAAUAAUAAAUGGUCUGAGGUGCUUGACACAUCUAAUCUCCAUUUUAGAGCAGUGUUUUGUUUGGUUUUAAAGGAUGGGAUCCUUCCAGGAUAUUAAUAACAUCAUCUGGACUGCUGAAUUGGAAGUUUGAGUGACUUUUUCAGAUAACUGCCUGUAAAAGGCAGUUCAGGUACAUCUUUGAUGCCAUGACUCAAACAAAGUUCAGCAACAUUUUUCUUAAUUAUUGGCUACUUGUAUGUAUAAUCCCGUGCAGAAAAUGAAGUACUCAAGCACAAGUGGGUCAGCCAAAAGGCCGAGUGGAGCAAGGAAAGUGAGGAACCUGGAACUUGUCAUUAUCAGCUGAUGCAGCUGCUGCCACACUGCUGCAGCCAGAGCUGUGGCUGAACCCCCUGAACCAGUCUGUGCCCGUGUGGGAGCUGCAGGUCCCCACGGAACACCAGGGACUGCUGUGCAAUGGAGCAGAGCCCUCAGAGCUUCCAAUCCUCCCUCUGUGGCACACACUGGCUCCUGCCAGUCACCUUUCCCACAAAACCCCGGAGUCCAUGGGCCAUAACCCGUCCAUGAUCUGUCAUAGCUCAGUCUCAUCUCUGCCUCUUGCCAGCAACAGGGUACACUGCACAGGGUCACAGACCUGCAGGGCCCAUCUCUCAGAAAAUGGAGCAGCAGUUUGGCAUCUCUGUGACUCCAGCAGUUAAUCCAUCAUUAGCAUUCUUUUAAAAUUGUGCCAUUCCAGCUCCCUGGGAGGUAGUUUAGGCAAACCAACUCCUUUUGAAAACUGCAAAUGGCCCAAUCUUCUUGUGAUCAUGACACAAUAUCAGCCAAAGCUUUGUCAGAAAGGCCUAGGAGCAGGCCUCUGUGGCUACCACAGCUUUAAAACUAGGUGUAAGUGCAAGCACUAGGGGAGACAGCAGUGUGCAGUGAAUAUGGUUAUGACACUUCCCUUUUUCUAUUUAUACAACUCCAUUUAUUUUUUCCACCAGCCUUGCUCAACUUCCCAUGGGUAGGCUGGCAGGAGGCAAAAUUUCUCAUUACACCUGAUGGAAACACCAAAUGUACUGAGAUGUCUGAUGAAUGAGACUGGCUGAAGGCAAGGUCAUUUUCCAUUCAGCUUCUCUGGGUAGGCUGACUGAUGGCUGGAGACUGCCCAGCCAGUUGCUUUAUUACCCUGGGGCAUAUUCCUCCUUUUCAAAACCUUGUGUUCUUCAGUGGGCCCUCAAUAUUAAUUCCACAAUGCUCCAGAAACAGCAACCCUAAGAUAUAAAUGUAAAUGCUUGAGAUAUCCUUCUCCACACAGACAACUGCCCAUUGAAGCUCUAACUUCUCUAUUGUUUCAUUCUUGAAUUGCUGCUUCUGCUGCACUUUUAUGGUUGCUGGUAUUGAUGAUAACGGAGUUUUCCCCAGCAAGGGAACCUAACAUCCCAUUCCCCUGACAUCUGCAAACAGUCCCUCUCUGUCAGUCAGCAGCAAACCAGAAAAAUUAAAGCAAGGAUGCUGAAAGCACUGACCAGGCCUACCCCAUUGGCCAAAGCAAGUGUCAUUCAGCACCACUUUGAAAGGCACCCAGGAGAGGAAAGCAGCUGCUCCCUUUCAGUACCAGCUGAACUGACAAGCUCAAUAGUCUCCUCCACCAUCCACAGACUCAUUAUCAAGGCAGAGUUUGGGAUGUCUGAGAAGAGCUGUAAAACCUUUGCCUUUCUGAAACUUAAAGCUGCUGUGCCUGGAGAGCAGAGAACAGAGCCCAGGGCCCACCAUGGGUAAUACUGACCCUGGCACAGUGACAGGGCGGGUGAUGAGCCCAGCCACACUGCCUGAGUGAGGGCUCAGCUCUUUUGCAGAGAGGCAAGAAAGACACCUUGAGGAGGGGCUUGGGUGAAGAGGCAGAGCAGGGCAGGAGAUCCUAACACCUGGCUACCAAGCUCAUGGCCCAGUCAAGGCCAAACAAAUUUGGGCCCAGUCAAGGCCAAACAAAUUUGGGCCCAGUCAAGGCCAAACAAAUUUGCUCUGUUGUGUCUUUCCCACUCCUCGUGAGCUGCCUUGAGCAGGGAACCUCUUGGCUUUGUCUGGGAUUUCUCCCUUCACCCACAAGAUGGCAUAAUUUGCUAGUCUCCGGUUUCUCUGGAUGUGUUUGGCCACUUUUCGCUCCAGCCAGAGGGGAUUUGGUCUCAUCUCAUCUCACAGAAUGGCCAACAGAAGGAGGAAGCCUUCUUUAGCCCUGUCCCAGCCUGCAGGGAUGGGCUUGGCCCUGCUGAGUGGACAGGGAAGUUAAUAGAGAAAACAGAUGGAUAGCCAGUGCAUCCUGGGCUCUUGGCUCUGUAUUGCUUGGAUAAACAGAGGCCAACUCACUGCUGCCUUGGGACAUCCCAUCCAUCCACAGGGACAUGCCAGGCUCCCCACCUCUAAGAGCACUUUGACAGCACCAGGGCUGUGCUCAGGAAAUGUAGUUGGCCAGCAGGGGUUGAUGAGACAUUUCCCAGAAACUGACGGAGGAGGAAAUGAAUCUAUUCAAUACAAGACAACUAUCAAUGCCCUGAUAUUUACCUGAAACAGAAGCCAAAUAGAAAUCCAACAAAAAAAAAAAUAACAUUUUAAAAAAUUUUUUAACAUUUUAACAUAUUUUAACAAAUAAA